GAGUCCUGGGCGGGGACAUCCCCAAGGUCACCGCGCCUGUGCCUUGGCCUAGAACCAAGGCUUCAGGCCGCGGGGUCUGGGGCUCCCUGGGGGCCGGCUGCUAUUCCUGGCCGCCUGUCCAUUCAUCCGUCAGUGCAUUGGGUCGUUCAUUCAUUCAUUCAAGGAAUCUACAGAGUGUCGUCCAGACUAGAGUGCAAUGACGCGAUCUCAGCUCACUGUAACCUCUGCCUCCUGGGUUCAAGUGAUUCUCCUACCUCAGUCUCCCGAGCGGCUGGGAUUAUAGGCAUGCGCCACCUCGCCCAGCUAAUUUUUGUAUUUUUAGUAGAGACGGGGUUUCACCAUGUUGGCCAGGAUGGUCUCCAUCUCUUGACCUCGUGAUCCGCCCGCCUUGGCCUCCCAAAGUGCUGGGAUUUCAGGAGUGAGCCACUGUGCCCGGCCUUAUUAUUAUUGUUGUUAUUAUUAUUAUUAUUUGAGACGGAGUUUAGCUCUUGUUGCCCAGGCUGGAGUGUGAUGACGCUAUCUCAGCUCACUGCAACCUCCGCCUCCCAGGUUCAAUCGAUUCUGCUGCCUGAGCCUCCCAAGUAGCUGAGAUUAUAGGCGCCUGCCACCACGCCCGGCUAAUUUUUGUAUUUUUAAUAGAGACAGUGUUUCACUAUGUUGGCCAGGCUGAUCUCAAACUCCUGGCCUCAAGUGAUUCUCCCUCCUUGGCCUCCCAAAGUGCUGGGAUUACAGGUGUGAACCUCUGCGCCCAGCCAAUAAUUAUUAUUAUUAUUUUUUAAUUCAAGACAUAGCAAAGCAAGACACAAUCCCUGCCCUCUUGGGAGCUUCCGGUGUGGAAGGGAGGCUGUCAUGCAUUUGCAGUGUAGCAUGAUAGGGCUGGGAAGGGAAGAGUCUUGGGGCUAUGACUUCAUGUGGAGAAGGAUGUAUCCAACCCAUCCUUGGAUGGCAAGAAGUUUGCAUGAAGAAAAUGGCAUGUAAGCCAGAAGGAUGAACACAUUUAAUAGGAACAAUAGAAAAGUUGUGUCCAAGAUGGCAGACACAGCCUAUACAGCAGCUUGGAGUCUUCAGAAACCACUGAUGUCUUUUGUUUUCAUUUUUAUUUUUUUUGAGACGGAAUUUUGCUCUUUUUGCUCAGGCUGGAGUGCAAUGGCGCGAUCUCAGCUCACUGCAACUUCCGCCUCCUGGGUUCAAGCGAUUCUCCUGCCUCAGCCUACCAAGUAGCUGGGAUUACAGGCAUGUGCCAUCAUGCCUGGCUAAUUUUGUAUUUUUAGUAAAGAUGGAGUUUCACCAUGUUGGCCAGGCUGGUCUCAAACUCCCGACCUCAGGUGAUCCGCCCACCUGGGCCUCCCAAAGUACUGGGAUUAUAGGCAUGAGCCACCGCACCCGGCCCAAUGUCCGCCUUUCUAGGGCAGCUCACCUUUGGGUGUUUGGGUUCAUUCCAUUCUGUGCUUGCCUCAAGUCCAGAGCUCCCGAGCAUUGGCCCAGCCUUGAGGGAGACUGUGGAUUGCAUCAGAGGUGGUGAACCAGCUGCUGUGUAGGGAGGGCAACACCUCCCCUUUGCUAUGAGACUUUGGGAAGGUUCUCCAACCUCUCUGUGCUUUAAUCUUCUCAUCUGUAAAAUGGGUAUAAUUCUAAUUGUCCCAACGUCAUGGGGUUGCGGUGAGGGGUAAAUGUAUUAAUACCCCUCAAGUGUUUUCAACAGUAUCUGGCACAAGGUAACUGCUCAAUUUGUGUUGUUAUUACUCAUAAAGAGAUUUGGGGGUUAUUUGCUUAGCUUCCUAUAUGGUUCAGGCUCUGAUGAUGGAGGACGGGCACCAGGACAUAAAGGUUAAGGAGAAGGAAGACCAAGGGAUUGCAAGGGGGAAGUCCUUCCCAGAUAGGAUUCCUUAACAUGGGAUCCCUGGACAGCCUUUGGAGACCCAGGAGCCUGCCUACUGUUGGGCCCAUGUGCAUUUCCCCAGGCAGCUGGAGCCUAACUUCUACCAGGUCCUCAAAGGC
rnacentral:lncRNA from 10 species